rnacentral:rRNA from 1 species
AGUGAACGCUGGCGGUAGGCCUAACACAUGCAAGUCGAACGGCAGCACAGUAAGAGCUUGCUCUUACGGGUGGCGAGUGGCGGACGGGUGAGGAAUACAUCGGAAUCUACUUUUUCGUGGGGGAUAACGUAGGGAAACUUACGCUAAUACCGCAUACGACCUACGGGUGAAAGCAGGGGAUCUUCGGACCUUGCGCGAUUGAAUGAGCCGAUGUCGGUUUAGCUAGUUGGCGGGGUAAAGGCCCACCAAGGCGACGAUCCGUAGCUGGUCUGAGAGGAUGAUCAGCCACACUGGAACUGAGACACGGGCCAGACUCCUACGGGAGGCAGCAGUGGGGAAUAUUGGACGAUGGGCGCAAGCCUGAUCCAGCCAUACCGCGUGGGUGAAGAAGGCCUUCGGGUUGUAAAGCCCUUUUGUUGGGAAAGAAAAGCAGCAGGUUAAUACCACGCUGUUCUGACGGUACCCAAAGAAUAAGCACCGGCUAACUUCGUG